rnacentral:rRNA from 1 species
GAAUAUUGCGCAAUGGGGGAAACCCUGACGCAGCAACGCCGCGUGAAUGAUGAAGGCCUUAGGGUUGUAAAGUUCUGUCUUCUGGGUCGAUAAUGACGGUACCAGCGGAGGAAGCCACGGCUAACUACGUGCCAGCAGCCGCGGUAAUACGUAGGUGGCAAGCGUUGUCCGGAUUUACUGGGCGUAAAGGAUGCGUAGGCGGAUAUUUAAGUCAGAUGUGAAAUACCCGGGCUCAACUUGGGUGCUGCAUUUGAAACUGGAUAUCUAGAGUGCGGGAGAGGUAAGUGGAAUUCCUAGUGUAGCGGUGAAAUGCGUAGAGAUUAGGAAGAACACCAGUGGCGAAGGCGACUUACUGGACCGUAACUGACGCUGAGGCAUGAAAGCGUGGGGAGCAAACAGG